rnacentral:rRNA from 1 species
AACGAACGCUGGCGGCAUGCCUAAUACAUGCAAGUCGAACGAGAACUUCGGAUCUAGUGGCGCACGGGUGCGUAACGCGGGGGAAUCUGCCCUUGGGUUCGGAAUAACUUCUGGAAACGGAAGCUAAUACCGGAUGAUGACGUAAGUCCAAAGAUUUAUCGCCCCAGGAUGAGGCCGCGUAGGAUUAGGUAGUUGGUGAGGUAAAGGCUAACCAAGCCGACGAUCCUUAGCUGGUCUGAGAGGAUGAUCAGCCACGCUGGGACUGAGACACGGCCCAGACUCCUACGGGAGGGAGCGGUAGGGAAUAUUGGGCGAGGGGCGAAGGCCUGGUCCAGCAAUGCCGGGUGAGUGGUGAAGGCCGUAGGGUUGUAAAGCUCUUUUAGCCGGGGUGAUAGUGACGGUACCGGGAGAAUAAGCACCGGCUAACUCCGUG